AUGCCACCUUCCGUGCAUGACACGGAAGGCCUGCCGUUCAUGAAGCAUGGUUAUGUCUUCCAUGCGCACCGCCGGAUGAACGACAUGCUGGGACACGCUAUCCCUGAUUUAUGCCGCUUCAGCUUGGAUGAGUCUCCAUCGUGUGGAACCGGACUAGAAAGCUGCGACAAUGAUUCCCGUUGCCCACCGCUAUGGAUCGUGCCAUCCAUGAAGAACACCUGGGACUGGAACCUGGAGGAGGACAUCAGACGCAAAUGCGCUGGCCUUCAUGAUUCCAGGACCUGGAAUCAUACCAGCCGAUGGUCGAAGAAGGAUUGGCCGGUGCUGCCGGCUGGCGUCAAGUUCGAUCCCACGGAUCAGGAGCUGAUCGAGCACCUUGAGGCCAAAGUGAGUGCUGACAGCGCGAGAUCUCACCCUCUCAUCGAUUUGUUCAUACCAACCAUCGACAGCGAGCACGGCAUAUGCUACACCCAUCCUGAGAAAUUUCCAGCGCAAUUCCAGGGCAUCAAAAGGGGCACGUGGACACGUCGCAAGAUACAGUCGGAGUGCGGCAUGCACGCGAUGUGGCACAACACCGGCAAUACCUUGCCGGUGAUGGUCAACGGCCGGCAGACGGGCAGCAAAAAGGUUCUGGUGCUGCACACCAACAAGAACUUCGACCAGCAAAGGACCAACUGGGUGAUGCACCAGUACCACCUCGGGGACCUGGAGCAAGAGAAGGAGCGGGAGCUGGUCCUCUGCAAGAUUUUCUACCAGACGAACACUAGGGCUAGGAGUAAAAAGAUUAUAAGUUAG
rnacentral:rRNA from 1 species